UAAUUCCCUUUAUUUAUUUAUUUAUUCUUUUCUUAAAUUGCAUUCUCUUCUAUCUAUUCUGAAAUUCGGGACACGAAGUCUAUUGGGUUGUUAUCUCUGUCCCAAGAGGACUCUUGUUGCCCUCAGCACACGCCAAUUCCCUGCAAAUUCCCCACCUUUUUUACAGGGUUCAGUCCAACUAAACAGGCCAAUGCUUGUUCAAUUUUGACCGGCGUUGUUUCUGAAACAUGGGUUUGAUAUUUUGCAGGCUCAUUGGAGUGCUUACAUGACCUUUUCAAUUGAAGCUUGAGUGAGGAAGAUGAGUAGGAAAAGGAAAAAGAAAAGAAGGUUCGCUGUCCUUCAGGCACUAAAGAAAAUUGGACCAAGAGUUGAAGUAACAGCAGCUUAAAUUUGCAUGUUUGAUGGCAUUUAAUCAGAGGGGAACUCCUCCAAUGCUAUUAUCAUUCAUUACAUGGAAUUUCAUGAAGGGGAGGACUCCAAUACUACUCUUGAGGUCUACUCCUAUUCCUAUAUAGAUCAUAACAAUUUUGCUGUACAAAUUGCUUGUAUUCCGGGCAGCGAAUAUGAGAAAACCUAUAUGAUCCAUCUGCUGAAUAGGUCUCGGAUAUCCUGCCUAUUUGUUGAGACAGGUAGAUUCGAUAAAUACUCUUUACAUUUACUUUUUAAAUUGCUACCGGUGUUCCAACAAAUGGUUGGAAUUAUGCCACUUUGCUGCCAGAUCUUGUCUGGAAAAGAUGAGUGGGCAGGAGAGUGUUUAAUUAUUUCUUUGCGAUGUGACAAUGGCAUGACUUUGCAUGAAAGUGGGUAGAAUAUUAUUUGGCCACGCUUUCCCGCUUUAAAGUAGUCUUUAACC